UUCUCUCCUUUCCCUCCUUCCUUCUCACUUUCUUUCCUUCUCUCCUUCCUUCUCUUAUUUCACUCUCUUUCUUCCCUUCCCUCCUUCCUUCUUUUUCCUUUCCCUCCCUCCUUCUAACCUUCUUUCCUCCCUUCUUCUCUCAUUCCCCUCCUUCCUUUCCUUCCUUUCCCCCCUCCCUCCUUCUCACCUUGUUCCCUUCUUUCCUUCCUUCUUUCCUCCCUUCUUCUUUCCUCCCUUUCCUCCUCCCUUCUCUCCUUCCUGUCUCUUCUUUCUCCCCCUCCUUCUAACCUUCUUUCCUCUCUUUCCUGCCUUCUUCUCUCCUUUACCUCCUUCCUUUCCUUCUUUCCUUCCCUUCCUCCCUUCUUCUCACCUUCUUUCCUCCCUUCUUCUCUCCUUUCUUUCCCUCCCUCCCUCCUUUCCUCCUCCCUUCUCUCCUUCCUCUCUUUUUCUUUUCCCUCCCUCCUUAUAACCUCCUUUCCUUCUCUUUCCUCCCUUCUUCUCUCAUUUCCCUCCUUCCUUUCCUUCUUUCCUUCUCACCUUCUUUCCUUCUCUCCUCUUUCCUUCUCUCAUUUCUUUCCUCCUUCCUUCUCUCCUUCCACUCUCUUUCUUCCCUCCCCUCCUUCCUUCUUUUUCCUUUCCCUUCCUCCUUCUAACCUUCUUUCCUUCUCUCUUUCCUCCCUUCUUCUCUCAUCUCCCUCCUUCCUUUCCUUCUUUCCCUCCCUCCCUCCCUCCUCAACUCUCUCCUUCCUUUUCUCCUCCCUUCUUCUCUCCUUUCUUUCCCUCCCUCCCUCCCACCUUUCCUUCUCCCUCCUCUCCUCCCUCUCUCUUUCUUCCCUUCCCUUCCCUCCUUCCUUCUCUCUUUCUUCCCCUUCCCUCUUUCCUUCCCGCCGCGCCGCUCACCUGCCGACUCUCCUCUCCGAGCUGCCCCGACGGCGCUUCCCAAGCGCUCCGAUCUCCCCGCGGUCAGUGGAGCCGCCGCCUAACCUGGCGCAUCCCCGGCAGCCUCGGUGCGAUCCUCCCCGACGGCCAGCGAGGCUCGACUGCGAGGGCAGCGCCGGGAACCGCCACGGAAACCAGACCCAACGACGGCCGCGCCUCCUUCCAGGAAGCGGCGGCCACGGGCGCCUUCU
rnacentral:lncRNA from 1 species